GUGAGGGAUGAAGGCUGGGCGCAAACCGGAUUAGAGGCCGGGUAGUCCCAGCAGUAAACGAUGCCAGCUAUGUGNGCUGGAACCAUGGGUUCAGCAGUGCCGAAGGGAAGCCGUGAAGCUGGCCACCUGGGAAGUACGGUCGCAAGGCUGAAACUUAAAGGAAUUGGCGGGGGAGUACCACAACCGGUGGAGCCUGCGGUUUAAUUGGAUACAACGCCGGGAAUCUUACCGGAGGGGACAGCAGUAUGAAGGCCAGGCUAAAGACCUUGCCGGAUCAGCUGAGAGGAGGUGCAUGGCCGUCGCCAGUUCGUACCGUGAGGCAUCCUGUUUAGUCAGGCAACGAUCGAGACCCGCAGUCUUAUUUGCCAGCAUGCCCUUUGGGGUGUAUGGGUACAAUAAGACGACCGCCAGCGCUAAGCUGGAGGAAGGAGCGGGCUACGGUAGGUCAGCAUGCCCCGAAUCCUCCGGGAUACACGCGGGCUACAAUGGUCAGGACAAAAGGUACCGACCUCGAAAGAGUGAGGUAAUCCACAAACCUGAUCUCAGUCCGGAUCGAAGGCUGCAACUCGCCUCCGUGAAGAUGGAAUCGGUAGCAAUCGUGACUCAAAAUGUCACGGUGAAUAUGUCCCUGCUCCUUGCACACAC
rnacentral:rRNA from 1 species